rnacentral:rRNA from 1 species
GACGGAGGAGGCAAGCGUUAUCCGGAAUUAUUGGGCGUAAAGGGUACGUAGGCGGCUGGUCAAGUCUGGGGUCAAAGGCCACAGCUCAACUGUGGGAAGGCCCUGGAAACUGACCGGCUAGAGUGAGGUAGGGGUUGCGGGAAUUCCCGGUGUAGCGGUGAAAUGCGUAGAGAUCGUGAAGAACACCUGAGGCGGAAGCGCGCAACUGGGCCUUAACUGACGCUGAGGUGCGAAAGCUAGGGGAGCGAAUGGG